rnacentral:tRNA from 2 species
GGAGAGAUGGCCGAGAGGUUGAAGGCUCCAGUCUUGAAAACUGGCGUGGUACUAAGAAACCACCGAGGGUUCGAAUCCCUCUCUCUCCU